rnacentral:rRNA from 1 species
CGGUUAAGUUAUUAAGGGCGCAUGGUGAAUGCCUUGGCACUAGGAGCCGAUGAAGGACGGGACUAACACCGAUAUGCCUCGGGGAGCUGUAAGUAAGCUGUGAUCCGGGGAUUUCCGAAUGGGGGAACCCAACUUGUCAUGCAAGUUAUCGUUUAAUGAAUACAUAGUUAAACGAAGGUAGACGUUGUGAACUGAAACAUCUCAUUAGCAACAGGAGAAGAAAGAAAAAUCGAUUCCGUCAGUAGCGGCGAGCGAACGCGGAGGAGCCCAAACCAGAGUGCUUGCACUCUGGGGUUGUAGGACUACCGUUGUGGAGUUACAAAUUUGUUUAUUAGCAGAAUCAGCUGGGAAGCUGAGCGAAACAGGGUGAUAGCCCCGUAUGCGAAAGUAAGCAAACUCCCGUGUAGGAUCCUGAGUACGGCCGGACACGUGAAAUCCGGUCGGAAACUGCGAGGACCAUCUCGUAAGGCUAAAUACUCCCUAGUGACCGAUAGUGAACCAGUACCGUGAGGGAAAGGUGAAAAGCACCCCGGAAGGGGAGUGAAAAAGUUCCUGAAACCAUGUGCCUACAACAAGUUAGAGCCCGUUAAUGGGUGAUAGCGUGCCUUUUGUAGAAUGAACCGGCGAGUUACGAUACCAUGCAAGGUUAAGGUGGAAAGACCGGAGCCGUAGCGAAAGCGAGUCUGAAAUGGGCGUUUUAGUAUGUUGUUGUAGACCCGAAACCAGGUGACCUACCCAUGUCCAGGGUGAAGGUGCGGUAAAACGCACUGGAGGCCCGAACCCGUACAUGUUGAAAAAUGUUGGGAUGAGGUGUGGGUAGCGGUGAAAUUCCAAUCGAACUUGGAGAUAGCUGGUUCUCUCCGAAAUAGCUUUAGGGCUAGCCUCGGAAGAUAGCGUGUUGGAGGUAGAGCACUGUUUUGGUGCGGGGCCCAUCUCGGGUUACUAAAUUAAGAUAAACUCCGAAUGCCAAUCACGUAUGUCCGGGAGUCAGACAGUGAGUGAUAAGAUCCAUUGUCGAAAGGGGAACAGCCCAGAUCGUCAGUUAAGGUCCCUAAGUGUGUGUUAAGUGGAAAAGGAUGUGAAGUUGCAUAGACAACUAGGAUGUUGGCUCAGAAGCAGCCACCAUUUAAAGAGUGCGUAAUAGCUCACUAGUCGAGUGAUUCUGCGCCGAAAAUGUACCGGGGCUAAACACACCACCGAAACUACGGGUGCCACAUCAGUGGCGCGAUAGGAGAGCGUUCUAAGGGCAAUGAAGUCAGACCGUGAGGACUGGUGGAGCGCUUAGAAGUGAGAAUGCCGGUAUGAGUAGCGAAAGACAGGUGAGAAUCCUGUCCACCGUAUGACUAAGGUUUCCUGGGGAAGGCUCGUCCUCCCAGGGUUAGUCGGGACCUAAGGCGAGGCCGAAAGGCGUAGUCGAUGGCUAACAGGUUGAGAUUCCUGUACCAGGUGAACAUGUUUGAACGAUGGAGGGACGCAGAAGGCUAACAGAACCCAGCGGCUGGAAAUGCUGGGCCAAGCAACAAGUCUUAGUGUGAGUCAAAUGCUUGCACUUAUA